CAGUCGCCGCGGUAAUACGGAGGGUGCAAGCGUUAAUCGGAAUUACUGGGCGUAAAGCGUGCGUAGGCGGUUCGUUAAGUCUGUUGUGAAAGCCCCGGGCUCAACCUGGGAAUGGCAAUGGAUACCGGCGAGCUAGAGUGUGUCAGAGGAUGGUGGAAUUCCCGGUGUAGCGGUGAAAUGCGUAGAGAUCGGGAGGAACAUCAGUGGCGAAGGCGGCCAUCUGGGACAACACUGACGCUGAGGCACGAAAGCGUGGGGAGCAAACAGGAUUAGAUACCCCUGUAGUCCCUGUCUCUUAUAC
rnacentral:rRNA from 1 species